GACAGUAAUUAAGCUUAACCUUUUCUCCCUGGUGGAGGAACCACUUGCAUGAGAAUAAGAGGUUGUUCCCCAGGCCAUCAGACUCCAAACAGUUAUGCAACUGGAGCCUCCUGAGGAUGACCCCUUCUGCCUGGGACCCUUAGAUCAGCCUCUAGAGAAGCUUUGACUGCUGUUUCCCCAAAACAGCACCCCCUGCCAUCAGGAAGCAAGACUGGCUACCUGUCUUCCUGGCUUCCUUUGUAGUGAGGGGUAGCCAUGUGGCUGAAUUCUGGCCAAAGCCUUUCAGGCCCAUUUCUCCUCCCUCCUCCCUGCCAGCUGGAUGCAGAGGACUCCAAGAUUCAUGGGAGGAUGGAGACCUAUUUUGAUAGAGCUUGGGUCCCUGAAUGAUUAUGGGCUUUUGGCCUGAGUGAGAAGUGAACAUAUAUUAUAUUAAGCCUUUGAUUUUUGUGAUUUAUUUUCAAUAGCAUCUAGCAUUAACUUAAUGAAUAAACAUCCUCAAUUUCUGUUGAAUUUAAAAUUUGAAAAAUAGGCAAUAUAGUCACAUUGUUCAAAAAUCAAAACAAUAUAAAAGCCACACAUUGACACUCUCACUUCCACUCUAUUCUGUCCACCGUGCUCCAUGCUCUCGUUUCCCAGCCCUAUGGUGAACUACUUUAACAGUUUCUUGGAUCUCUUUCCAAUGUUUGUUUAUGUAUAUAAUACAAAAAGUACAUGUCAAUGAUGUAUAUGAAUAUGUUCUUUUCUUCCCUUCAUAGCUCAAAGGUAGCAUACUAUUCAGACUGUUUUGUAUUUUGCUUCUUUUGCAUGACAAAAUCUCCUGAUGACCUUUCCAUUGUGGUGUAUAAAAGACUUCUCACUCUUUCAUAGUUGCAUAGUAUUUCAUUGGGUAAAGCAUAGAUUAUUUACUAGUCAUCUAUUGAUGGACAUUUGUCAACCCAUCUCCUUGAAAGUAGUUAUGUAAUUGGAAUAAAUCAGUUUCAGUUUAGGAUUUAAGCCCAGGCCUAGUUGACUGCAGAUCCUAGGCACUACCCCACCUUCUUUAGGAAGAGACAGGCACUUGGAAGAGUCUUUUCCUUAUUCACAAAAGGCAACAAUAUAAGGCAUGAAGUGGGAGUCAGCUAACCAAAAUAAAGUGAGGGUGAGGUUGAGUGGACUUGCCCUUAUCACACCAGAUGGCAGGAGAAAGACACGACCACCUCUUUCAGCUGUCUCCACAUAGUAUCUGUGUCAACAGAGCACUACAAUUGUAUUUGUACUCCAAGGCCCUGUUUAUCCUGUCUCUAGUGAAACACCACUUUUGAGACCAUCACUAAUUUACAUGUCAGAACCAACUCUUUCAGCCUCUAUCCCUCACUGGCGAAGAAACAAACAGUCUACUGAUUUUAUUGCCAAUUUAAGAAUUUACACUGCGCACAGUGGCUCACACCUGUAAUCCCAGCACUUUGGGAGACCGAGGAGGGUGGAUCAUGAGGUCAGGAGUUCAAUACCAGCCUGGCCAACAUGGUGAAACUCGGUCUCUACUAAAAAUACAAAAAAUUAGCUGGGUGUGGUGGCACACACCUGUAGUCCCAGCUUUUCAGGAGGCUGAGGCAGGAGAAUCGCGUGAAUCCAGGAGAUGGAGCUUGCAGUGAGCCGAGAUCAUGC
rnacentral:lncRNA from 1 species